CAGCCAACUGCUUGAGGCAGCUGCCUUAUGAUCAGAUGUUCAAAGAGCUGCUAAAAAUGUAACUACCUGUAAAUGGCUUCUUCAAAAAGCAGUGGCCAAAGCCUGUGAACAGUGUAGUUUUGCCCCAUAAGUGCCUCCUUUUUUGUGGCUGUCCAGAAUAUUCCUUCCUCUUGAGUCAUCUACGAGGAGUGGAUGUUGACUUCUGCCCUCGAAGUUUCAACAGAAUCACCAGAAUUGGGAGGAAUGGGAGAGUCAACCACCCAGUUUUGAGUGUCACAGUCUGCCCUUGAUUGCUUUGAGUCAAUGAAGGGGAGAUGAUGGGGGUUU
rnacentral:lncRNA from 1 species